rnacentral:rRNA from 1 species
GUGCCAGCAGCCGCGGUAAUACGGGGGGGGCAAGCGUUGUUCGGAAUUACUGGGCGUAAAGGGUUUGUAGGUGGCUCGCUAAGUCAGACGUGAAAUCCCUCAGCUUAACUGGGGAACUGCGUCUGAAACUGAUGAGCUUGAGUGCAGGAGAGGAACGCGGAAUUCCAGGUGUAGCGGUGAAAUGCGUAGAUAUCUGGAGGAACACCGGUGGCGAAGGCGGCGUUCUGGACUGUAACUGACACUGAGAAACGAAAGCCAGGGUAGCAAACGGGAUUAGAUACCCUUGUAGUCC